CUACGCACUCCUACGGGAGGCAGCAGUGGGGAAUAUUGCACAAUGGGCGCAAGCCUGAUGCAGCCAUGCCGCGUGUAUGAAGAAGGCCUUCGGGUUGUAAAGUACUUUCAGCAGUGAGGAAGGUGGGUAUGUUAAUAGCAUAUUCAUUUGACGUUAGCUGCAGAAGAAGCACCGGCUAACUCCGUGCCAGCAGCCGCGGUAAUACGGAGGGUGCGAGCGUUAAUCGGAAUUACUGGGCGUAAAGCGCAUGCAGGUGGUUUGUUAAGUCAGAUGUGAAAGCCCGGGGCUCAACCUCGGAAUUGCAUUUGAAACUGGCAAACUAGAGUACUGUAGAGGGGGUAGAAUUUCAGGUGUAGCGGUGAAAUGCGUAGAGAUCUGAAGGAAUACCGGUGGCGAAGGCGGCCCCCUGGACAGAUACUGACACUCAGAUGCGAAAGCGUGGGGAGCAAACAGGAUUAGAUACCCUGUAG
rnacentral:rRNA from 1 species